UGCCAGCAGCCGCGGUAAUACGUAGGGUGCAAGCGUUAUCCGGAAUUACUGGGCGUAAAGCGUGCGUAGGUGGUUUGUUAAGUUAGAUGUUAAAUCUGCAGGCUCAACUUGUAGGCCGCAUCUAAUACUGGCAGACUUGAGAGUGGAAGAGGCAAACGGAAUUCCCGGUGGAGCGGUAAAAUGCGUAGAUAUCGGGAAGAACACCAAUGGCGAAGGCAGUUUGCUGGGCCAUUUCUGACACUGAGGCACGAAAGCGUGGGGAGCGAUCGGGAUUAGAUACCCCGGUAGUCCACGCCGUAAACGAUGGGUACUAGCUUUUUCGAGUAUCGACCCUUGGAGAAGCGAAGCUAACGCGUUAAGUAUCCCGCCUGGGGAGUACGGCCGCAAGGCUAAAACUUAAAGGAAUUGGCGGGGGAC
rnacentral:rRNA from 1 species